rnacentral:tRNA from 1 species
GUGGGUAUAGCUCAAGUGGUAGAGCGCAUGCUUAGCAUGUGCAGGGUCCUGGGUUCAAGCCCCAGUACCUCCU